AGACGGGGCCUUGCGCGAGGCGGCGCUGGCGCGCGGGGACGGGGCUCGCGCGGCGGGCGGGCGCGUGCGCGGGGCGGAGGGCGGGCGGCCGGCCGUUCGCUGUCCCAUGCCCAAGCAAAACGGCAGCAAAGUUGAGGCAUCGGGGAGAGUAAGUGAUAAAAAUAAAAACCCCAGCAUAGCCAGUCCUGGCCCUGAACUCGUGCUCUGUGUCACUCCUGGAGGGACGGCUGAGACGCUCACCCAAGAGCGAGGCCUGAAGGUCAAGGUCUCACCUGUUCCCACCAGGGAGAUCCAACAAGCUGCCCUGCCUUGGCCUGCCCUCCAAUGCAGCCCCCGACCAUCACGGCUUAAAGCUUUCUGCAAGAGGCAGAGCUGAGCUCCCGUUGUUCCAAGGGUUGUGUGUUAAUGCUCAACUGAGAGUGGAGACUUGCACAGCUGACAGAAGACACCGAUCACCAGCAAGAUUUUUACUGCUCCGCUUUUAAACCUUGUCAUCAGGCCUCCCUGUGCUGAAAGCAGAGGUCACCCAGUGCCACCCUGAUGCUAGAGCUUUCACCAAGGCAAGCGAUUUUCAAGGCAUCUUCAUGGGAGGGAAGAAAAGUUUUCCAUAACACAGUCACAGUUUAAAACACUCCUAGGGCCUGAAUGUCUAGAAGGGAAAGGAAAAUGGGGUAAAAAAAGGAUAAAAACCCCAACACCUUUCAAGACUUCUUUGUACAUUGUGAUAAAAAUAGAAAAUAGACAAAAAAGCUGAGAGAUUUCCUCCCACCCCCAACACCUCCUGCUAAUCAUCCUAAAAAUUACCAGGGCAGAAGGUAAAAUUCAGCUCCCAUCAGCAUGACACUGAAUAUUCCUGCAUUUCAUUCCAGCAGCUGCAUUUGGAAAAUAUCUAGCAGAAGCUAUUACCAUGCGCUGUGCUGAAAGGUAACAAUCAACACUCUUAUUUUCAAGAUUCCUGCUAUAAAAGACUUUUUACAUCUUGGCCGUUUAUGAAUGCUGCAGUAUCUAUAUUCUAGUUUUUAACUUCUCCUGUGCAUGCUGUUUCCAUGUCACACGAACACAGCCCUGCUGCCAUAAGAGUACGCAGAAAAAUACACAGUAUUUUCAGUCUCCUUUUACAAUCCUGGCAAAUUUGUAGUUUGCACUUGGGUGAUGUGGAAAUGGCACAAUAAUUGCAACAGACAGCCACGGUGACCGAGAACAUCUGUGCUCUCGGCUGACAACCUGCCCUCAGGUACUGACUCACCUGCCUCGCACCGAGGGAGGCAGAGCUUUACACUACUGUCACUCUUGCAGUUUGCUUCCCCAAAGGGUCAUGCUAGGCAAAUCCUCUUAAUGGUGUGCACCAAAAUGCUGCAGAAAGCACUCCCAUUUCUCCUUAAUUACUGCAGGUGAUAUUAAGACAAGUUACACCACCUACUAAUCAACACAUUCAGAGUCUCAUCAGAGCAGUGCAGGCAGUGCUACAGGAGAUGGCCAGGGGGCAAUUUUCUCACCUCCCCUAGGCAGGCACUGCUAGUAGAAAAGCUGAGAGCUGGCAGAAGAGUGCGCUCUUCAGUAACUGAAGCAUGUUCUUGUGAGGUCCUGCUGCAUCAGUCACAUCAUGAAAUUGGAAUCUGUAAUGAGAGGGAAGGGGAAGCAGCCAGUUUCCCCUUUCAGUUGUUGGGAAGCCAUUCCUUCUUACCUUCAGACUGUACUUGGGUAUCUCACUUUCCAUGAAAGCGACCCACAAUGCCCACAAUCUCCACACUGGAACAAAUCAAAACCAGCAAGUCAUUUUGACUGGGAUCUAUAGCAGCCUUUCUUGUCAUAGGUGCCACUGCAUUUCCAAAAUGAUAAUUUCUGGAGAAGUAGCCUGGCAUUUACUUGAAAGUAGCAGGACACACAAGCUCUUGGUCAGACGCACGUACUCCACAACAGUGGAAACUAUUUUUUUAAUGGGCAUAACAGGAGGAGUGAGAGUAUAAUGGACUAAAUUGGGUGCCUCUCCAGAUACAGAAGAGUAAUUUAAGCAAAAUACUAAGUGGUAUAUAAACUGGCUACAAAAACACUUCAUCAGAAAAUUAUGUCCCUAGAACUCAGAGAGGGAGGUCUGAAGGGAAGAUCUCACUAGUUACAAAGGCUGCAUUACUCAGUUAAGAACAUGAGUAAAACUCUGUAUGGUAUUAAGAAAAUUUGAUGUGCCCCAAGGUCUUUUUCACAAAUAAACUGUCUUUUUUUUUUUUCCUCCUUGGAUUAGAAACUGGGGGCAGGGGGGAGGAUGUAAUUAAAGACUGUACCAACUGAUUUAAAGACUGGUUUAUGACUGACAUGCAGGGUUGGGUGACCUGUGCUGUACUUUCUCAGCCACUUCUUUCCUGCAUGAUCUUGGGCAUCUGACAAACAAUAUACACUGCCAAGUGGCUUAGGCUGGCAUCCUUCACUUUACCCAAUUCAUAUAAAACUGCAUGGACUAUCUUAACAUUUGCAAGCCACUGUACAACACAGCCUCCAGCCAUGCUAAAUAAAGAUAAAAUGGUUAAAUAUA